rnacentral:rRNA from 1 species
UACGUAGGGUGCGAGCGUUGUCCGGAAUUAUUGGGCGUAAAGAGCUCGUAGGCGGUCUGUCGCGUCUGCUGUGAAAUCCCGAGGCUCAACCUCGGGCCUGCAGUGGGUACGGGCAGACUAGAGUGCGGUAGGGGAGAUUGGAAUUCCUGGUGUAGCGGUGGAAUGCGCAGAUAUCAGGAGGAACACCGAUGGCGAAGGCAGAUCUCUGGGCCGUAACUGACGCUGAGGAGCGAAAGCGUGGGGGAGCGAACAGG